rnacentral:rRNA from 1 species
UACGUAGGGUGCGAGCGUUGUCCGGAAUUAUUGGGCGUAAAGGGCUCGUAGGCGGUUUGUCGCGUCGGGAGUGAAAACACCGGGCUUAACUCGGUGCUUGCUUUCGAUACGGGCAGGCUAGAGUGUGGUAGGGGAGAUCGGAAUUCCUGGUGUAGCGGUGAAAUGCGCAGAUAUCGGGAGGAACACCGGUGGCGAAGGCGGUUCUCUGGGCCUGUACUGACGCUGAGGAG